rnacentral:rRNA from 1 species
CAGCCGCCGCGGUAAUACCAGCUUCUCGAGUGGUGGGGGCGAUUAUUGGGCCUAAAGCGUCCGUAGCCCGCUUGUUAAGUCCUCCGUUAAAUCCGGCGAUUCAAUCGCUGGACCGCGGAGGAUACUGGUAAGCUAGGGGGCGGAAGAGGCUGGCGGUAUUCUUAGGGUAGGGGCGAAAUCCUAUAAUCCUAGGAGGACCACCAGUGGCGAAGGCGGCCAGCUAGAACGCGCCCGACGGUGAGGGACGAAAGCUGGGGGAGCAAACCGGAUUAGAUACCCGGGUAGUCCCAGCUGUAAACGAUGCAGACUAGGUGUUGGAACGGCUACGUGCCGCUUCAGUGCCGCAGAGAAGUCAUUAAGUCUGCCGCCUGGGGAGUACGGCCGCAAGGCUGAAACUUAAAGGAAUUGGCGGGGGAGCAC